rnacentral:tRNA from 1 species
AGUAUUGCGCCGGGUAGAACGGAUGGCUCUGAUGCUGCCAAUUACGAGAGUAAUCCUCUCCAAUACUU